rnacentral:rRNA from 1 species
AUUGAACGCUGGCGGUAUGCUUAACACAUGCAAGUCGAACGGCAGCGCGGGAAAGCUUGCUUUCCUGGCGGCGAGUGGCGGACGGGUGAGUAAUGCUUAGGAAUCUGCCCACUAGUGGGGGAUAGCCCGGGGAAACUCGGAUUAAUACCGCAUAAGCCCUAUGGGGGAAANCUGGGGACCCAGCACCAUAGCCUUUUGGCAGCCGAUCGUGGCGACAAGAAAGAGGUUAUGGGCUGGGCCUGGCGCUGGUGGAUGAGCCUAAGUCCUAUCAGCUAGUUGGUGGGUAAGAGCCUACCAAGGCGACGACGGGUAGCUGGUCUGAGAGGAUGAUCAGCCACACUGGGACUGAGACACGGCCCAGACUCCUACGGGAGGCAGCAGUGGGGGAAUAUUGGACAAUGGGACGAAAGCCUGAUCCAGCAAUGCCGCGUGUGU